GACUACUGGGGUAUCUAAGCCCGUUCGCUCCCCUAGCUUUCGCCUCUCAGCGUCAGGUACAGACCAGAGAGCCGCCUUCGCCACUGGUGUUCUUCCUAGUAUCUGAGCAUUCCACCGCUACACUAGGAGUUCCGCUCUCCUCUUCUGCCCUCUAGUAACCUAGUAUUGUACGCACCCUCCCAGUUAAGCCGGGAGAUGUCACAUCCAACUUGGGCUACCGCCUACUUGCCCUUUACGCCCAGUAAAUCCGGAUAACGCUCGCCUCCUACGUUUUACCGCGGCUGCUGGCACGUAGUUAGCCGAGACUUAUUCCUGUGGUACCGUCCUUGUCUCUUCCCACAGAAAAGGGUUUUACGACCCGAAGGCCUUCAUCACCCACGCGGCGUUGCUGCAUCAGGGUUUCCCCCAUUGUGCAAUAUUCCUUACUGCAGCCACCCGUAGG
rnacentral:rRNA from 1 species